rnacentral:rRNA from 1 species
GACGAACUCUGGCGGCGCGCUUAACACAUGCAAGUCGAACGGAAAGGCCUGCUUUCCCUUGUGGAUUGCGGGUACUCGAGUGGCGAACGGGUGAGUAACACGUGAGUGAUCUGCCCCCAACUUGGGUAUAAGCCUGGGAAACUGGGUCUAAUUCCCGAUAGGACUGCAGGGUGGUGCCUGUGGUGGAAAACGAUUUUCUAGUGGUUGGGGAUGAGCUCGCGGCCUAUCAGCUUGUUGGUGGGGUAAUGGCCUACCAAGGCGGCGACGGGUAGCCGGCCUGAGAGGGUGGACGGGCACAUUGGGACUGAGAUACGGCCCAGACUCCUACGGGAGGCAGCAGUGGGGAAUAUUGCACAAUGGGCGGAAGCCUGAUGCAGCGACGCCGCGUGGGGGAUGACGGCCUUCGGGUUGUAAACUCCUUUCGACCGAGAGGAAGCCACCUGGUUGGAAGGGUGGUGACGGUAGUGGUAGAAGAAGCACCGGCUAACUACGUG